ACAAAAAAAAACUAACCUACAGAGUGAAUAAACCCCGUAGCCCCACCCCCACUUCUAUUACCAAAUCCUAAAUAGAAAACCUAGUUUUUCUCCUCUCCCUCGUAAACCUCUUCAUUUGCUUGUGUGUGACAAUCAAUUGUCCUCAUCUGCUCCUCUCGUGUUCUUUCUUUCUUCUUCGGAAAAUCACACGGUACCCACCAUUAAAUAGAUGCUGGUGUAGAGAGGAAUUAUUCUGCCAGUGGAUGAUUUUUUAGCAUGACUUUGGAAGUUAGGGUUUGUGUUCUAAGGGAGGAAAAGAGUACCCACCCUUUCAGAAUUGUUCUUCCUAUUUUAUUGAGAAGGUUGAAGUUAAUUUUGGUGUUCAGAUUUGACGGCUAGUGGUUCGUUCAGUCGGCGUGAAGUUGUUGUGAGCGGUUCAGUUGACUCGUCAGUGUUAUUUUCAGGCAGCUUAGUAGCAGACUGUUGUCAGAUUCAGAUCAUUCGACUUAUUUCCUUUAGCAGGUUAUCAUAUUGGUGUCUUUAAUUUAAUCCUGGUUAUCUGCAGCUAUAGGGAGUCCUAGGUGGAUUUAGAUUUGGGAUUGUGAUUUAUUGUUAUAUUUUAAGAGUUGGCACUUGAGUGCUCGAGUUGAUUUUAUAUUUCACUUAAAAUACUGGUUAUGGAAGAACUUAUUGGCAGAUGUUGUUAAUUUGUAACUAUUGGAAUUACAAAAGAGAUUCUAGUGUUUUUAUA